rnacentral:rRNA from 1 species
CCCUUGGUAAUCGUAAGAGUGAUCCUAUGCUGCCUAGAAAAGCUUCGUGAGCGAGAUAUUAGCCGCCCGUACCCCAAACCGACACAGGUGGAUAGGUAGAGAAUACUAAGGCGAUCGAGAUAACCAUGGUGAAGGAACUCGGCAAAAUACCCCCGUAACUUCGGAAUAAGGGGGACCUGAGACGUAUUAGAAUUUACUUCGAAAGCGUCGAGGGUCGCAGAGACCAGGCCCAAGCGACUGUUUACUAAAAACACAGGUCCGUGCUAAGUCGUAAGACGAUGUAUACGGACUGACUCCUGCCCGGUGCUGGAAGGUUAAGGGGAAGGGUUAGCUUCGGCGAAGCCUUGAACUUAAGCCCCAGUAAACGGCGGUGGUAACUAUAACCAUCCUAAGGUAGCGAAAUUCCUUGUCGGGUAAGUUCCGACCUGCACGAAUGGAGUAACGACUUGGGCGCUGUCUCCACCAUGGACUCGGCGGAAUUGCACUACGAGUAAAGAUGCUCGUUACGCGCAGCAGGACGGAAAGACCCCGGGACCUUCACUAUAGUUUGGUAUUGGUGAUCGGAGUGACUUGUGUAGGAUAGGUGGGAGACUUUGAAGCUUGGACGCCAGUUCAGGUGGAGUCAUCGUUGAAAUACCACUCUGGUCACUUUGGUUAUCUAACCUAGGUCCAUUAUCUGGAUCAGGGACAGUGCCUGAUGGGUAGUUUGACUGGGGCGGUCGCCUCCUAAAAGGUAACGGAGGCGCCCAAAGGUUCCCUCAGCCUGGUUGGCAAUCAGGUUUCGAGUGUAAGUGCACAAGGGAGCUUGACUGCGAGAGAGACAUCUCAAGCAGGGACGAAAGUCGGGACUAGUGAUCUUCUGGUGGCACAUGGAAGCGCCAGGACUCAACGGAUAAAAGGUACCCCGGGGAUAACAGGCUGAUCUUGCCCGAGCGUCCAUAGCGACGGCAUGGUUUGGCACCUCGAUGUCGGCUCGUCGCAUCCUGGGGCUGGAGUCGGUCCCAAGGGUUGGGCUGUUCGCCCAUUAAAGCGGCACGCGAGCUGGGUUUAGAACGUCGUGAGACAGUUCGGUCCCUAUCCGCUGCGCGCGUAGGAGUCUUGAGAAGAGCUGUCCUUAGUACGAGAGGACCGGGACGGACUAACCUCUGGUGUGCCAGUUGUUCUACCAAGAGCACGGCUGGUUGGCUACGUUGGGAAGUGAUAACCGCUGAAAGCAUCUAAGCGGGAAGCACGCUUCAAGAUGAGGGCUCCCACAGAAUAAUCGGGUAAGGCCCCCUAUAGACCAUGGGGUGAUAGGUCGGAUGUGGAAGUGCAGCAAUGCACGGAGCUGACCGAUACUAAUAGGCCGAGGGCUUGUUCU